AAGGCAGUUAGGCAAAGCAUUGAAGUUGAUUUAUAAUUGUUAGUAGAGGGGUAAAAUCCAACUACCAAUUUAAAAUUUUAUAUUAACUAACUUGCUGAAUCUGCGACACCCUUGAGGGAAACUGGGAUUAGAUACCCCAUUAUUCUUGGAAAUAAAAAGAUGAAUCUACCAGAGUACUAUGAAUUAAAAAUUUAAAACUCAAAGGGCUUGGCGGUGCUUUAGACCUUUCAGGGGAACCUGUCUCAUAAUCGACAAUCCACGUUACACCUAACCUUUUCUUGCAUACAGUUUGUAUACCGUCGUCGUCAGGUAACUUUUAAAAAAUUUAUAGUUAGCAGACAAACUUUAAUAACUUUAAACGUCAGAUCAAGGUGCAAUUAAUGAAAAGGACGAGAUGGGUUACAAUUAUAUAUAAAUAAUAAUACGAAAGACUAGUUGAAAUACUGUUCUAAAGGAGGACUUGAAAGUAAAAAUGUUAAUAUAUACAAAUUGAAUAAGGCUCUGAGGCGUGUACAAACCGCCCGUCGCUCUCGUUGAAAAAUGAGAUAAGUCGUAACAUAGCAGGGGUAAUGGAAAUUGUCCCUAGAUU
rnacentral:rRNA from 1 species